GCUAAGGUAGCGCAAUCACUUGCCCUUUAAUUGUGGGCUAGUAUGAAUGGCUAGACAAGAGCUUGGCUGUCUCAAAGGGGCUUAUGAAAAUUAACCUUUAGGUGCAGAGGCCUAAAUUUUAGUGAAAGACAAGAAGACCCUAUCGAGCUUUAAUUUUUUCUAUUAUUAUAANUAGUAUAAAUUUUUAUUGGGGCAAUAAAGGAGCAAUUUAAGCCUCCUUAAAUCUAAAGUUAAACUAAUUUAUAAAAGAAACAUUUAUAAUGCUCUUAGGAAAAAGCUACCGUAGGGAUAACAGACUAAUUUCCCUCAAGAGUCCACAUUGACAGGGAAGUUUGGCACCUCGAUGUUGGCUUAAAAAACAGUUAUGAAGCAGCACUCUAACCCA
rnacentral:rRNA from 1 species